CUGCCUCGUACUGCGGGCUGGGAGCUCCCCCACUCGCCCGGACGGGGUUUGCCCGGAGGAAGCGGCUGAGACCGCUGGGCCAAACGGCGAUUCUCGGCACCGGCUGGAUGAGGUGGCCCGGAGUGUUCGGUAAAGUCCCGCGGUGAGAACUGUGAGGAGAAUAAAUGAGGCAAAGCCCUGAAUGCCGGGAGCCUUCCCUGGGUCUCGCCAUGUAUGCUCCAGGAAACCCUCUCCACGCUCAGCUCCUAGUUUAGAGCUGGAAUUUGUGAAACUUCAAAAAAUUAAAUAUAAAACCCGAAUCUAGAAUGUGCCAGGAGACCGGGCACCCCAACCCCCACCUCAGCCGGUUUGCGCCGCCCCGCCGGCUUGCCCCGAGGCUGUCUGAGAAGAACUUUCCGAUUCCUCUGUGGGAGUGAAGAGGAAACGAGUAGAGAGGGGACGUGCACACGAGCCUCCGGCCGCGCCACAUUCUCCUGCCACUUUCGAGCUGGGGACAGGGUCCAGCUACACCACAGGCCUCCCCCCGGGUCGUGAAGGGCCUUUGCUGCUGGGCACGGGCGCUUCUUUUCCUCGCUGGAGCUUACAUUCAUUUCAACAAAGCUUUACUGGGCAUUGCCUUUGCAGCAGGCACUGGGCGAGGGGCUGGACACGGCGACUUCUUCAAAGACCUCCCCGACAAGGUGGCUGCAGUCCAGUGGGGGCCGGGAGAGGUAGCGACAGGCAGAAACCCACGUUGGAAAGUAAUGGCUGCGAGUAGAGGCUCCAGGGGUUGGGGGGAAAUUCAGCAGAGCCAUACGGCAUUUGAAAAGAGGCUGGAGAAGCUUCCCUGGAAGCUCUGGAGCUCGAACUCGACCUUGCGACGUGGGAAGGUUGUAGAGGGUGUGGGACCGAAGGAGCCCAGGGGGCCAAGUCCAGGCCGAGGGCGCAGUAAGCGGUUCUAUAACUUUUAAACUAUGAGCAUACAUUAUUUUCAUAAAAAUAAAAAGUUUGAAAAUGCAAAUAACAUUUGGACGUGCAGACAGGAAGUAGAAGACUAUUCUAAGAUAAAUGGCAGAAAUGUGGAGGUGAAAAUCUUCCAGUAAAUGGUAAGUAGAC
rnacentral:lncRNA from 1 species